rnacentral:tRNA from 1 species
AUAAACAAUUUAAUGCUUUUUUUAAAGUUAGAAGCUUUAAUUAUUGUUUCAAU